rnacentral:rRNA from 1 species
GAUAUUUCCUUCGGGACAGGGGAGACAGGUGGUGCACGGUUGUCGUCAGCUCGUGUCGUGAGAUGUUGGGUCAAGUCCCGCAACGAGCGCAACCCCUGCCCCCAGUAGCCAGCAUUUAAGAUGGGCACUCUGGGGGGACUGCCGGGGAUAACCCGGGGGAAGGCGGGGAUGACGUCAAAUCAUCAUGCCCCUUAUGGCCGGGGCUACACACGUGCUACAAUGGCGUAAACAGAGGGAGGCGAGACAGCGAUGUUAAGCGAACCCCAAAAAUAACGUCCCAGUUCGGAUUGCAGCCUGCAACUCGGCUGCAUGAAGCUGGAAUCGCUAGUAAUCGCGGAUCAGAAUGCCGCGGUGAAUACGUUCCCGGGUCUUGUACACACCGCCCGUCACACCAUGGGAGUCGGGAACGCCCGAAGCCGGUGACCGAACCCGAAAGGGGAGGAGCCGUCGAAGGCGGGCCUGGUGACUGGGGUGAAGUCGUAACAAGGUAGCCGUAUCGGAAGGUGCGG